rnacentral:ncRNA from 1 species
ACUAAAGGGGUGCCGUUAGGCUGAGAAUAUACCCAUUGAACCUGCUUUGGACAAUGCCAGCGAAGGGAAACUAAUUAU